GGCGGGAUAGCUCAGUUGGCUAGAGCACACGGUUCAUACCCGUGGUGUCGUGGGUUCAAAUCCCUCUCCCGCUACUA
rnacentral:tRNA from 5 species